CCCUUAGAUGUUCUGGGCCGCACGCGCGCUACACUGACGAAUGCAACGAGCUUAUAACCUUGGCCGAAAGGUCUGGGUAAUCUCCAAAUUUCGUCGUGAUGGGGAUAGAUUAUCGCAAUUAUUAAUCUUCAACGAGGAAUGCCUAGUAAGCGCAAGUCAUCAGCUUGCGUUGAUUACGUCCCUGCCCUUUGUGCACACCGCCCGUCGCACCUACCGAUUGAAUGGUCCGGUGAAAUCUCGGGACGGCGGCUUGGUCGCUUGCGUCCGACUGCUGAAACUUGAUUAAACCAUAUCAUUUAGAGGAAGGUGAAGUCGUAACA
rnacentral:rRNA from 1 species